rnacentral:rRNA from 1 species
AUACGCUUUGAGAAGGAAAGUGGGGGCUCUUCGGACCUCACGUUAUUCGAGCGGCCGAUGUCUGAUUAGCUAGUUGGUGGGGUAAAGGCCUACCAAGGCGACGAUCAGUAGCGGGUCUGAGAGGAUGAUCCGCCACACUGGGACUGAGACACGGCCCAGACUUCUACGGGAGGCAGCAGUGGGGAAUUUUGGACAAUGGGCGCAAGCCUGAUCCAGCCAUGCCGCGUGUCUGAAGAAGGGCUUCGGGUUGUAAAGGACUUUUGUUAGGGAAGAAAAGGAUAGUGUUAAUACCAUUAUCUGCAGAC